ensembl:lncRNA
GUCCUGGUCUAGUCCUGGUCUAGUCCUGGUCUAGUUCUCGGGCAGUCUUUGGUUCUGUUGUAGUCCUUCUCUGAUCCUAGUCCUAUUCUAGUCCUCCUCCUGGUUUUCCUUCUGUCUCUCUCAGCUCUGAAGAUUCUGGUCCGGUUCUGGUUUUGAGGAGGGACAAAAGUCUGAGCGAUCUGUCUAUCCUGGCUGCUUCUACAGAAGUCAGGAAACCAGAGAGUCCCAUCCCAUCACUGUCUCUGGGACGAAGCAGCUCCUCAGAACCAAGCCACACAGGAGCUUCAAAAGCCAAAGGACCAAAGGACUCAAGGCCCCUGAGCGGCCGAAGUGGGUCUCAUCGUUUAGAUGAAGAUGUGGAGUACGACGACGACUUUAACAGUGAGCUGAGCAUUGGGGAAGAGAUCGAAGAGGUUUCCAUUGAGGGACCAGAACCCAGCGACAAGUUUGAUGAAAUGACGCAGGACCUGAGUGUGUCUCAACUCAGCCACACAGCAGACUACAUGGAGGAAGUCCCAUAGACCAGGUCUAAACCUGGGUCAGAACCUGGACUGGACCAGGACUGGACUGUCUGAGUGUAAAUACAAUGUAUGUGGGUGUUUGUAUUAAUUUUUUUUAUUUAUAAUAAAAUGUCUGAGGGUUUCAAA